CCCCUAGACGUUCUGGGCUGCACGCGCGCUACAAUAAUACGCACAGCGAGUAUCACCGAGCUCGAAAGGGCAAGGUAAACAAUAGAAAAGGUACUGUAAUGGUUAUAGAUCCUUGUAAUUAUUGAUCUUCAACGAGGAAUUCCUAGUAAGUAUGUGUCAUCAUCACGCACUGAUUACGUCCCUGCCCUUUGUACACACCGCCCGUCGCUCCUACCGAUUGGGUGAGCCGAUGAAACUCUCGGAUGUAGGCUAUUCGUAGCCCGCAGAAGAGAUUUGAAUCGUAGCGCUUAGAGGAAGGAGAAGUCGUAACA
rnacentral:rRNA from 1 species